GGAUGUGAGGGCGAUCUGGCUGCGACAUCUGUCACCCCAUUGAUCGCCAGGGUUGAUUCAGCUGAUCUGGCUGGCUAGGCGGGUGUCCCCUUCCUCCCUCACCGCUCCAUGUGCGUCCUCCUGAAGCUGCGCACUGGUCGAAGAGGACGGUCUUCCCCAAAUAGAGAUGGACCAGUCUUUGGUCAAGGGUAUAGGAGUAGCUGCGCUCCCCUGCUAGAACCUCCAAGCAAGCUCUCAUAUUAUCUUUGAGAUCAGUGUACUGUUGUUAUCUUCAAUUAGUAAACAAGAGUCCAAACUUCAUUU
ensembl:misc_RNA 7SK 7SK RNA